AGUGAACGCUGGCGGUAGGCCUAACACAUGCAAGUCGAACGGCAGCACAGUAAGAGCUUGCUCUUACGGGUGGCGAGUGGCGGACGGGUGAGGAAUACAUCGGAAUCUACUUUUUCGUGGGGGAUAACGUAGGGAAACUUACGCUAAUACCGCAUACGACCUACGGCUGAAAGCAGGAGAUCUUCGGACCUUGCGCGAUUGAAUGAGCCGAUGUCGGAUUAGCUAGUUGGCGGGGUAAAGGCCCACCAAGGCGACGAUCCGUAGCUGGUCUGAGAGGAUGAUCAGCCACACUGGAACUGAGACACGGUCCAGACUCCUACGGGAGGCAGCAGUGGGGAAUAUUGGGCAAUGGGCGCAAGCCUGAUCCAGCCAUACCGCGUGGGUGAAGAAGGCCUUCGGGUUGUAAAGCCCUUUUGUUGGGAAAGAAAAGCAGCAGGUUAAUACCCCGCUGUUCUGACGGUACCCAAAGAAUAAGCACCGGCUAACUUCGUG
rnacentral:rRNA from 1 species